rnacentral:rRNA from 1 species
CCUACGGUGGGGCAGCAGUGGGGAAUAUUGGACAAUGGGCGAAAGCCUGAUCCAGCCAUGCCGCGUGUGUGAAGAAGGCCUUCGGGUUGUAAAGCACUUUCAGUGGGGAAGAAAGCCUUGGGGCUAAUACCCUCGAGGAAGGACAUCACCCACAGAAGAAGCACCGGCUAACUCCGUGCCAGCAGCCGCGGUAAUACGGAGGGUGCGAGCGUUAAUCGGAAUUACUGGGCGUAAAGCGCGCGUAGGCGGUCUGAUAAGCCGGUUGUGAAAGCCCCGGGCUCAACCUGGGAACGGCAUCCGGAACUGUCAGGCUAGAGUGCAGGAGAGGAAGGUAGAAUUCCCGGUGUAGCGGUGAAAUGCGUAGAGAUCGGGAGGAAUACCAGUGGCGAAGGCGGUCUUCUGGACUGACACUGACGCUGAGGUGCGAAAGCGUGGGUAGCAAACAGGAUUAGAUACCCGGGUAGUC